GACGAACGCUGGCGGCGUGCUUAAUACAUGCAAGUCGAACGGAAAGGCCCCUUUGGGGGUACUCGAGUGGCGAACGGGUGAGUAACACGUGCGUAACCUGCCCCUGACUUCGGGAUAACUUUAGGUAACUGGGGCUAAUACUGGUUAGGAAUCCUUGCUGCAUGGUGGGGGUUGGAAAGUUUCGGCGGUUUUGGAUGGACUCGCGGCUUAUCAGCUUGUUGGUGGGGUAGUGGCUUACCAAGGCUUUGACGGGUAGCCGGCCUGAGAGGGCGACCGGCCACAUUGGGACUGAGGGACGGCCCAGACUCCUACGGGAGGCAGCAGUGGGAAAGAUUGCAGGAGGGGCGGAAGCCUGAUGAAGCAGCGCCGCGUGCGGGAUGACGGCCUUCGGGUUGUAAACCGCUUUCAGCAGGGACGGAGCUUGUGGUGACGGUACCUGCAGAGGAAGCACCGGCUAACUACGUG
rnacentral:rRNA from 1 species